CGCUUGCUCUCUCUCUCUCUCUCCUCUCUCUCUUUCUCUCGUCUCUGUGGUUUGUAAGGUAGGUUGCAGUGUGUGUAUAUACACAACAUCAAGAGCAGGAAAAUGGACUCAUUAGGGAGGCAGGCAGUCAUUACCAUUCACACUGCACUUCCAGGGAGACAGCGACUAUGAGGAGACACACUGAGGACUGGGGAACAAGCACUACAGAAAAGAAGUGUUAAGAAUUCCUGUUAAUCAUUUCAGAAUCAGAAGAAAAAAGAAUGCCUGAAGUUACAUUUUAGAUGCUGAAAUCACUGCACCUUAAAAACAAAAAAACUUCUGUCCUGUUGUGAUCAGUUCCAAAAUGAUGAAGCUUUGGACUUCUAUCUGACUAAUUAAAAAACACUAGGAGAUAACAAGAAAACUGCAAGCAGUUCAGAAUUACACAGCACCAAACAGACACAAAACUGUUUUCUGUAAG